UCAAAAAUAGUGUAACGUUCUCCUAAGAUAGUGUAACAUUUUUCUGAAAUAGUGCAAAUUCAUCAUCUUCUUCUUUUCUCUCUGUUUUUUUAUUUUUUCUUGUAGAAAGAUUUUUUUUUUAUAUUUUAUUUUAUUUUUAGGCUAAAUUACAUAAAACUCCCCUAUCAAAAACCGAUUUUUCACUUCCCCUCUUGUCAUUUAAAAAUCUGCACUUUACCCUCUUGUAAAAUGAAAAUUGUUCACAGGGGGGUAUGGUGCGUAAAAUGACUAUUUUGUCCUUCACUAUUUUCAUCUCAUUCUUCAUCUUCCUCAACCGCCGCCUCAAUCGGCCGCGAUUCACACCUCGAUCGGUCGCGAUUUUUCUCUAUUUUCUUCUCCACCUGCUCCCCUUCUCCUCCUGCACCCUCGUCGCCCCUCGAUUUCGGCGACAGUAGGGAGGAAAUCGAGGUAGGCGCUGAUGGAGAGAUAGGCAAGGGCAAUAAGGGCGAAGGCGAGGUGGUGGAGGAGGGUGAAGGGGAUGUGGGUGUGGGCGAGGGCGAGGGCAAGGUAGUGGAGAGGGCGAGGUGGCGAGGCGGCGAUUCGGCGGCGAAGCGGUGAGCCGAAGUGAGGUGAAGCAACAAGGAAGAGGGCGGAGGGGUAUUUUUGGCAUAAAAAAUAUUUUAUAACGGGACCCUAACGGAUCACUAAUGGUAUGGGGUGAAGUGCACAUUUUUCAUUUUAUAAAGGGGCGAAAUGUAGGUUUUUAAAUGACAGGGAGAGAAGUGCAAAAUCGAAUUUUGACAGGAUAGUUUCCUGUAAUUUAACUUUUUUAAAUUUU
rnacentral:lncRNA from 1 species